rnacentral:rRNA from 1 species
AAACGAUUGAAGUCAGUCGUGUUCUUUGGAUUCAGCUAGUUCUUCUAGUCUACUUCCUUUGAACGGGUCAACAUCAGUUUUGUCCGGUGGAUAAAGAUAGUAGGAAUGUAGCUCCCUCGGGAGUGUUAUAGACUAUUAUUGCAUGCACUGGGUGAGACUGAGGACUGCAGCUCGCCUUUUGGCCGGCCUUCGGGUACGUUCGAGCUUAGGAUGUUGACAUAAUGGCUUUAAACGA